rnacentral:rRNA from 1 species
CCUACGGGUGGCAGCAGUGAGGAAUAUUGGUCAAUGGCCGGAAGGCUGAACCAGUCAUGCCGCGUGAAGGUCAGUGCCCUAUGGGCGUUAAACUUCUUUUGUGCGGGAGCAAUAAUGGUCACGUGUGGCCAGACGAGAGUACCGUACGAAUAAGCAUCGGCUAACUCCGUGCCAGCAGCCGCGGUAAUACGGGGGAUGCAAGCGUUAUCCGGAUUUAUUGGGUUUAAAGGGUGCGUAGGCUGUGAGGUAAGUCAGCGGUGAAAUGCCCCCGCUCAACGGGGUGAAGUGCCAUUGAUACUGCCUGGCUGGAAUGCGGAUGCCGUGGGAGGAAUGUGUGGUGUAGCGGUGAAAUGCAUAGAUAUCACACAGAACACCGAUUGCGAAGGCAUCUCACGAAUCCGCGAUUGACGCUGAUGCACGAAAGCGUGGGUAUCAAACAGGAUUAGAUACCCUAGUAGUC